CUCGUGAUCAUGAUAAUCUUGGUCCUCGUAGCCUUUGCUUGGAUUGGAGCAAACGUCAACAAUCUUCUGUUGAUGUACUUGGCCGCUCUUCUCAUUGCCAUUUGGACUGGUCUGCAUGGUAAACACGUCAAGAUCAUCAGCCGGAAAACUGUAUGCGGCAAACCGAAGCUGCAGUAGAGAGCCGAUCGCUUCUUAUACACCACAUACAUAAGAUCAUCGACUUGCCAUCAUAUGUGCCGAAAUAAACUAGAGAUUGUUGUUAUACUUUGCUCAUCGACACUAUGCCACUGCUACAUUCGAAGGAUGCGAAUAUAUUCUCCAGGGAGACUGUAGCGAUUCUGCAGCACUUGGAUAUGAAGCGAACCUAGAACGAAUGUUUCCGCUCAACAACAACCACUUAACAAUUACUUAUUACUAAUUACAUACAGGCUUCGAUCCAUUCAAUUUUGAAAUUCAAUAAAACGCAAAAUCGCUAAAAUUCCACGAACUAAAA